ACUCAAAUGAAUUGACGGGGGCUCACACAAGCGGUGGAGCAUGUGGCUUAAUUCGAGGCUACGCGAAGAACCUUAUCCUGGACUUGACAUGUGCGAAAGCGCCAGCAGGUAGGACCCGGAAACGGGAACGAACGGUAUCCAACCCGGAAGCUGGUACAGGUGCUGCAUGGCUGUCGUCAGCUCGUGUCGUGAGAUGUCGGGUUAAGUCCCAUAACGAGCGAAACCCUUACCUUUAGUUGCUACCGAAAGGGCACUCUAGAGGGACUGCCGGUGUCAAACCGGAGGAAGGUGGGGAUGACGUCAAGUCCUCAUGGCCUUUAUGUCCAGGGCUGCACACGUGCUACAAUGCCGUGAACAAAGCGACGCGACCACGCGAGUGGAAGCUAAUCGCAAAAAACACGGCCCAGUUCAGAUCGGACGGCUGCAACUCGCCUCCGUGAAGCCGGAAUCGCUAGUAAUCGCGGGUCAGCAACACCGCGGUGAAUGUGUUCCUGAGCCUUGCACACACCGCCCGU
rnacentral:rRNA from 1 species